rnacentral:lncRNA from 1 species
GUUUGGGCCAAAAUUCCAUGUGCUAAAGGGGUUGGUGCUUUGCAGCAUGGGACUGAGAUGUAGAUAUACAUCUAUAGCCAUGGAGAAGUGCCCAGGGCAUGGCUGGCAGGGACACUGUGCUGGGCAUUUUGUGCCACCCACUCUGCUCUGCACCCAGCAUCCUGGUUGCACCCAAGCACCAAGAUCAUGAGCUCAGCGCAGAUUAAAACCCUCCGUUUUGCACUUUGCUGGGGUUUCACGCAGCUUUCUGGAAUACAAGGCGACCUGUCCAAGGACUUUGAACAUGCUUGGAUGGGGCAGAGUUAAGUUUAUCCUACAGAGCCAGCCACGCACCCAUCUUCUAGCCCUUUCCGGCCUUUUCCCCAUUCUAGAAAGGGGAUCGGAGGUGUCCCAGCCCAUGCAGGUGAGCAGGCAGGAUGGGCAGCUGCCCACAGAGCCUCCCAUGCACGCAGGGCUUGAAGGAGCAUCCCUGCACCCUGUGCAUGCACCCAUCCAGGCGUGCACACGCGUGUCAGGGCACGUGUUUGCACAUGAGAGUGUGCACCAACCCAGCACCACAACAUCCCCGCGGGGCUCCUCUAGCACCAGACAGAGCUGGCUGGGGAGCAGCGUGCCCCUCAGCACGCCCCCUGCACCCCACCCUGGAUCAGUCCUGUCUGCACCCCACUUCCCAAAGCCUUUGGACAUCGGGUUUCCAGCUCAGCUGCAUCCAAAGCGCAGGCAAGAGGACUCCACGGCCCCCCCAGUGCAUGCCCCUGGGCACAGCUGGAGGGGGUCCCAGGUCUCCAAGGGGUGCAGAUAAGAGGGUGCAGGGGACCGGGCCAUGGCAGUGCCAGGCUGGGUGUCCCCCCCAUGCUGCUCCUGGCAUCCAGCCCUGUGCGUGGGGAGGGGGAGCAGAGGGUGGAGCCUGCACACGGCCAGACCCGGGAGCUGUGACAUUCAGGCUGGCAGAGAGAAGGAGCCGUGGGUGCUGGGCAGAGCUGGGGGGACACUGGGAGCAGGUCAGGGCCACCUUCGGGGACCAAGCACCCCCUGAGGGAAAGUGGCUUGAAGGGACCUGGGUACAGGACAGGGCUGGGAAGAAGCAAGGAGAGCAGGGGCACCCCUGGGAGCUGGGGUCCCCCUGGUGCUCAGGGCCAUGCAGGAGGAUCUGGGCUGGCCCCAGCCCCUCGGGGACUGAGCUGGGACACCCACAGACACGGCACGGGGCUGGCUCCAGCCAUGGGGUGCCCGUGGCAGCUCCCUGGCUCCUGCACGCUGCUGCUCCUGCUGCUCGCGCUCCCGAUGCUUUGGGUAAGUGUCCCCAGGGAGGACGGGGAUGGGGAGGUCAGGGGGGCAGUGAGAGUGGCGGGCCCCUGCCUGUGAUGACCACCUCGGGGCCCACCAGCCCUG